AUUCUUUUAGUACAAAAAAAUAUUUUUGACUUCCAAUCAAAAGAUAAAUAACAAUUUAAAGAAUA
rnacentral:tRNA from 1 species